ensembl:lncRNA
AUCUCCACUUGUAGAUUGCUUCUUCUGGAGUGUUCAGUGAGUCCUGAUCCUCAGACAGGUGUGCUCCAGGGUGCCUGUUGGGCCCAGCUAUGCCCUGCGCUGGGGCCAUUGGAGCCAGUUGGAAUGGGCUGCAUCUGGCCUGGGGCAGCCCUGGUUUUGCUUCAUGCUGCAGCCUUGCAGUGCCCAGUGUCAGCACCUUAGCACUUGUACUUGGAACACGCAGAUAAUUUGCUUUAUACCUGUUACUUGGCACCAUAUGAGCGCUUAUCUACAUCAUUAGUACUGGGGUUCUACCAUUUACAUGAAGAAAACUGUUUAAUUCACUACUGAAGUUUGCAAGAUUUUUCAUGAUUACACUAUUCAAUAUCUUUUUUCUCUAUGCUAUAAACAGUGAACUAAGUCGUGGACUCAACUUCAUCUAAUUUGACAACUAAAGUAUUUUCUGAAAUGACUGUGCUCUCAGAAACAGUUAACUUUUAUUAGCAUGUAAAUCUUUACAUGUUUUGAGGUUUUUUUUCUGUAUUUUUUCCUAAAUAAAAACAAUGGGUGUACUUAGUGCCUUUGCUGCUCAGCCCACCGCCCUGUGUGAUCUCUGCUUUGUAUCUUCAGAUUCUUCUGUUCUUUGUUAGAUAUUUAAUUUCUGUGAGUAAUAGCAGCACAAGUGGCAGAGACUAGAGGACAUAGUUCUGUGCUAUCCCUCUUGCUCCUCCUGUACUGGGCAAGUAGUCUCAUCCAGCCUCCUCAGCAGCCCAUGCCCAACCCAAACCCUAGUGGGACCCUGUCCUGUGUCCCAAUCUAUUCCAUCAGGGCUCCUUGGGCUGCUGCCAGGACCCACUGACACCGCCACCAUUGCCUGCUAUGUUCAGGGCAGGGGGAUGAGGGCAGUUCCUGCCUGCAUUUGGGUGACCGACACUUGGCUCCCACCUCAGGGCAGUCUCUGUGCUAUUGUGCUCCCUGACACUGUGAACAUAAAGAUACUCCUUCCCCUCCCCCCCCCCUUCUAAUUAAGCAUUCUUUCUAGAUAAAAAAAUGGAGUUUUAUUUUGUGUAUUUUGCUGAUCUAGAAGGCGUAUUGUACAGGGUUGUAACCAAUAUGUUUUUGUUUAAAUUGUUAUAUGCCUGAGGCUUUAAUAUUUUUUUAUCUGCUUAGUUGCUCUCCUGUGUAAAUCACGAAAAGUUAUGUUUUUGUAAAGGAAAGUAACAAACUAUGAUACUAUAGUUACAUGGUAGAUAAUAUAAUUACAAAAAACAAAGGAAUAAACAUAGUUCAAUCAACACUUUGUCAUUUUAGAGCUUCAUGUUAGGGAUAUAUUUUGCAUGUAUUAGAUUUACAUUAAAUACAUAGUGUAACAAUGA